rnacentral:misc_RNA from 1 species
CCGCAGCCCGACUUGAACGGAAAUCCUUUUUGCGGCUGGAAAAGAUUGGGCAAAAAGAUUGGGAGUGGAAGGCGGAUAAAGC